rnacentral:lncRNA from 9 species
GGGUGGGUAAUGUUUUUCAGCCAGAGCAUCUAGAGCCCCCACGGCAAGAGGGUGGAGAAUGAAAGUAUGGAUAGGGCCACCACAGAACCAGUAACGCCCAGAAAAAACCAUUCAUCUUUGAUGGUUGCAUAUAAAACUCCCUACUAAAGGAUCAGUAGGUAGGUUUGAGAAGCUGGAAAUUUUACUUCAUCAGUCCCUGGCACCAUAUAUGGAAGUACUUUAAGACUUAGACUUUAAAUGACAGUGAUCCUAUGGAUAUCUUUACCACUCUUUAAUACUGCUCACCCCCUGAAGCCCCUUAGGAAGAGGGGGUUCAGUUCAUAAAAUCCUGGUAGCACCCAGCAAAUGUGGGGGCCUUGGCUUUCUGAGCUUGAAGCUCUCUUUGGUUCAGUCAUUGCAGGCUCCUGCUUAAGUGUAAUUCUCAAAAAGUUAGAAGACUUGACUCCACAAAAGACAUAAAAUGAAUAUAUGUCAAAGAUCUGAUUCAAUUCAUUAGUUAAUAGGAGAGAAAUAAGAUAUUAAAAGUAAUCCAAAGGGCAUUUGAGAAAUGGGAGUGUGUGUGUGUGUGUGUGUGUGUGUGUGUGUUUGUGUACAUAGUAAAGAAAUAUUAAGAUAAGAUUUCUGGAUACAAAACUGCCUUAUAAACUAUAACUUAAAAAUUAUCUUUUCCACAGAACACAAAUUGUUCAUAUUUAACCUCAAAAAAUCUGUAAGUUAAUACGGACCUAUAAUUCAUAAUAAACACUAACUGCAAUUAAAUAGUCCAUUUCUCUAAUCUUUGGGUGGUCUGGCCCCUGUGUGGCAUAGAAAGGAUAGGCUGCCCACCUUUCCCCUCAUCUCCAAGUUUUAGAUAAUUUUGGUGAUAUUCCCUGAGAGAAGGAGCCAUGCAGCAGUGCUGAGAGUCAUGGCGGAAUGGUGUUCUGAUGGUCCGUCUUCCAGCCAGGGAGUUGCCACGGCUUCACCCAAGAUGUCAGCACCACUUACCAAGCUUCCCCAAUGAACAGAGUGCAAAACAGCUGAAGAAGGAUCCUCAUUACUCAAAAGAUACGUUGACACACCUCUGGGCUUUGAGCCUGUGAGAAGGGCCCAGCUCUCUGCCACUUAAAGUAGCAACAUGGUUGAUGACAUUCUUCUUUGGCCCGCUCCCUGUGAGAGAACACAAACCACUCCAAGAUGAGCUGGAAUGCAGCCUUCAUCAUAGGACGAUGGUAAGUAGUCGAGAUAAAACACCCAGUAAAGCAAGUGGAAAGAGAAAAAGGCAGAACGAAUGUGUACCUUCUUAUGGAGCAGUGCUGUCCAUCCAUCAGCUGAAAAGGAAAGCUGGUACAUGGCUUAACGUUUUCAUUAAAAUGCAGUAGGCCAUCAGGAAGUCAGAUUUGCACCAACAACAAUGAGAUAUUUUUCUUACAGUUCCUUUUCCCUGAACAGCCUUGCUGUGGGCUUCAAAGUUCUCUCUCUGACCACAUUCAGCGAAGUCGCCUUUUUCUCUUCUCUUUGAUUGAACCCAGAGCUUUGGGAAGGGCAGUGAAGUAAGCCGAAAUGAAAUUGCC